GACGAACGCUGGCGGCGUGCUUAACACAUGCAAGUCGAACGGAAAGGCCCUGCUUUUGUGGGGUGCUCGAGUGGCGAACGGGUGAGUAACACGUGAGUAACCUGCCCUUGACUUUGGGAUAACUUCAGGAAACUGGGGCUAAUACCGGAUAGGAGCUCCUGCUGCAUGGUGGGGGUUGGAAAGUUUCGGCGGUUGGGGAUGGACUCGCGGCUUAUCAGCUUGUUGGUGGGGGAGUGGCUUACCAAGGCUUUGACGGGUAGCCGGCCUGGGAGGGUGACCGGCCACAUUGGGACUGAGGUACGGACCAGACUGCAACGGGAGGCAGCAGUGGGGAAUAUUGCACAAUGGGCGGAAGCCUGAUGCAGCAACGCCGCGUGCGGGAUGACGGCCUUCGGGUUGUAAACCGCUUUCGCCUGUGACGAAGCGUGAGUGACGGUAAUGGGUAAAGAAGCACCGGCUAACUACGUG
rnacentral:rRNA from 1 species